AAAAAUCAUAAAUGUGAUAUGUAUAAUUAAUUAUAAGGACCAAGAUGCAAAUAAAAAGAUGAAACUUCAAAUUUAGAGUUUUGAGUAGUGAAACUUCACUUCUUAAAACUCUAAAUUUGAAGUUUUGAAGUUCUUUUUUGGAGAGCCAAAAACUCUAUAUUUGAAGUUAUAGAGUUUUUUUUGGAGAUGCUCUUAGGAUUUUACAAUUUGUAAUAAGCAACACUUCAUAAUUUUCACAGAAAAAAUCAUUUUAAUCAACUACAUGCUAGUAUAUCGUGUAAAGUAAAAUUGUUGAGUGUUGACGGUUGUGAAAAGAAACAUAAGUUAAUGUUUGCUACCGGUCAGAACUUACGGACGGACAUUAACUACACCUUAACUUCAAAUUCAUAUAUAUACUUAAAAAAGUAUAUAUACAUAUACUUCAAAUUUACACACAUAUAUAAACUUAUAUAUAUAUAUAUUAAAAUAUUUAUAAUUUAGCCAGUGAUUAUGUAGCUUAUGGUUCAAAGUAGUAAUAACUAAAAAGAAAAACUGACUAUCCGUAAAUAUGAUUUUUGAAGUGAUUUUCUAAACCUUUCUUAAAUGCAAUGGUCACAUUGAUUUGGAAAAAAAUGAUUAUGGUAUUCUUAAAUUAAAUAAUAUUGGUAUUGAUUGGAAUCUUAUAACAUAAAGAAGAGCUCCACUCUCUUUUCCUCCUGCCACGUCAGUAAAUGAGGUGAGGGGACGCUGACACGUGUUGUCUAUUUUGUUUGUGCAGGCUUCUGUUUUGUUGGGCCAUGUCUUUCUACGUCGAGUCCAUUGCAUGCUUUAACCAAUUCAACGUGAUGAAACGCCGCGUUUUUCAUUUGGGUUAACGAGACAUCAUACUCGCAUCUCCAAAGCUAAUGGGGACUUCGGUUGAGCAGCCGAUUUUCGUCUCCUUCUUCGCGAUGUCAGUAACCGAUUUAUCAUCUUUAAGCACUCAAUUAAUUGAUCACCCACGAUCAAGAUUUAAUACGAGAUUUUUCUUAUGCAAGGCGGUGGAGUUCGACAAUAAAAAGGUUAAAAAUUAAUUUUUAAACAAAUUUUUGACGUUUGCAAGAGCUCAACCUGAAGCAUGCAAGACGGAUAUGUUAUUGCACAGGAGAGGAUAUGACUGUUCACUACAGGUUUGAAUGUCAGGAUAAUCUUGACAAGGGUUUUGAGACCAACACACCUUUCUCUUGGAUCACAUCCAGUUUCAAGGAGGAUGCUUAGUCUGGUGCUACAACUCAGUCUACUCUUUCUCAUGAAUCUGCUGAGUCGGAUUCCCUUUGAAGACAAGUAUCUUAUCCACUCAUGGGCCCUAGGUUGUGUAAUUUUUAAUAGGUGAUCUGUACAUCAUCAUACCGUGUCGUUUAAUUAAAACAUAACAAAGUUUACUGCCUCUUUGUUUGCGUUUGUUUUUGGCUUUCACCUUAUAUGCAUGAGCUCUUCACAUAUUCAUGAUAUUUGUUUAGUUAUGUACAGAUCUUUACUCUUUUGGUGUUAUUGAGUCCUUCAAAUAUUUACCACAAACCUCUUUAUUCAAACCUGAAAUGAACUAAAAGGUCACCUACUCAGUCACUCAUGGAAGCUUUCUAUAAGGUAUCAAACCAUUUAAUUAGAAAGAAAAGAGCAACAACUCUAAUUGCUCUGGAGUAGUGUCCGAUAUAAACACAGAUUCCAUUCUACAAAGAAGCUAUAAAAAAUUCUCUAAAAAAAGAAGCUAAAAAAUAAGAAAGAACCCUAUUAAAUAUAAAACUGAGGAAUGCUUUGGGGAAUUCAAGUAACAAAAUACAUAGGCAAAAAAUUUCAAAAGGAUGAAAGCUUUGAGAGCUAUUGCCUUCACUAAAUCAUUAUGAACCAUUUUUCUAUCUAUGAAGAUCAUGUCUUGAGAUGGGCGCACAUUCGACAUUUAACUUUUAAAUUGUUUGGCCUUCAGUAGAUAUAUUGAAAAAUUGUACGUACAUCAAUUACAAUAUUAAUACAUCAAUUACAAUAUUAAUGGUUAACUGUCUAUAUACUUAGGCUGUAAAUAAGCUAAGCUUAACCAUUUUAAUAGAAAACCAAACAUUUAUAUUCUACAGCCAAACAAAAUACUGAUCGAAUUAAAUCAAUUUUUUUUUUAAUAUGCUUUAAUCAAUCCAAAUUCGUUUAGAAACAAAAAAAUAUAUAUCCAAAACACAUAAUAGUUAAUAAAUAAUAUACAUUAAAUCCAUGUUGUAAAAUGUAUAUAUGAUAUCUUAUAAAUUUUAUAAGCCUUUAUCACCACUAAUAUAUAUAUAUAUAUAUAGAAAUUUUUGGUGAAACUUCAAAAAAAAGAAAAUUAAUGUAAAAAUAUCAAUAAAAUAUUUUAAGACUAUAGAAUUUUUCAGCUUAACUCGGUACAAAUUAACCUAAACCAUUCUAAAAAUAAACAUUAUUUUGUAAAAUAUGUUAAUAUACUAUAUUUCCAUUAAAAAUAUAACAAAAAUGAAUUCUGAAAAUAAUAUAAUAUAAUCUCAUGCAAAUGUAAAAAAAGAAAACUUAUUUCCAUUAAAAAUAUAACAAAAAUGAAUACUGGAAAUAAAAAGUAUAAUACCGUAAAAUAUAGUUGAUAAAAUAAAAUAUAGUUGAUAACAAAUAAAAAUCUAAAUGCAAAAAAAUUAUAAAUAAAGGUCAAAUGUUAACAAAAUAGAUAUAAUAUUUAAACAAAAUUAACAAAUCUACAAUAUGAUCUUAGAAAAAACAAUAUGUACUAUAUUAUAAAACUAAAAUACAUUUUAUAUAAAAUAAUUUUAUAUAAACACACCCUACCGAAUAUUUAGUCUUGAAACUAUUUACUUUGUAAAUAUACAAAGUCAUAUAAAUCUUUGGCGACAACUGAGGACUUUAUUGCUGUCCACUUGCAAACUUCUUGCACAUAUCUUGAAUUGUUGUAUGCAGUCGGUGAAAAUACUGUCAGAUAUGUGAUAAGUGAGAGCUCCUCCGUUCUCUUUUGCUCUUUGAUUUUUAUAAUCUUUUUUGUUGUUGUAUCGUACAUGAGAAUAUUACUGAUUAAAAAAAUGUUAUCCUCCCUUUCAGUUGUUAUGAGGCUAAACAGAGGCGUGAAGACAUGAAGACAUCCUGUUAAUUUCAAUGAUACACGUACAUUAUAAACCGAUGUCCAAAUAUAUAUAAUUUUUUUUUGUAAUGCUCAGGUUUAAUUAUUAGAAUAUGAUAUUUUUACUAAUUAGAGCUACAUUUUUCAAAUAUAUUGUUUUAAAUAUAAACAAAAGUAGGUUAAAUUUAUAUUUUCACGUACACAUUAUUAUAAAUUAGAGUUAUAAACCCGCGCCUCAGUAUAAUUAUAUUUUUAAAUAUAAUCCAUUUGAGAUUCAAAGUAAUCCUUUGCUUUAUGAUCCAUUAAAUAUAAUCCUUGGGUUUAUGAUUCUUUAAAAAUUCAAAGUAACAAAAUAAAUUCGCUUUUCAGUUUUGAAAAGAUAAUUAUGAGUUAAAAAUGAGAUAUUACUAUCCAAUAUUCAUAUAUGUAUCUCUUUCCACAAUGUAAAACAUAAUAUCUAACUAUUACAAAACAUUUAUAUAUAAAAAGAUUAAUAUAUUUUUUUUGUCAGAAGGUUAAUAUAUUUUUAUGAGAUUAUUAAAUAUCAUCAUAUUUAUUAUACUUAUGUUUUUAAUGCCAUGUAAAAAGGGUAUUUUAUUUAUUAAUUCCAUAAAAAAUAUUAACAGUUAGCCAUUAAACUAAAUUACUUAAACAAAACAAUUAACCAACCACAAAAUGAAAGCUCACCGAGUUGUUAUAAUCAGUGGCAGAUCUAGAAUAUUUUUAUAGUGGGGACAUAUAUUAUUUAAAUAUAAAAUAAAAAUACUUAUUACAAUUAUUUGUUUAUAUAAAACAUAUUCUGUUCAAAUUUUUUAAAUAAUAACUAUUAUUACAUAAACAAAAUUUUGAGAAUAUAUAUAUAUAAGUUUAAAAUUUAUUUCUAUUAUAAUAUAUUUUUUAAUUUUAAAUAUCAUUAAAGUAAAUAAACAUUCUGAGAAAUAUUUACAUAAUAGAUAAUUAAAUAAAAAUGAUUAAAAUAAAACUUGGUAAAAAGAAUAUGCGAGAAAAAAAUGAAGAAUAUGCGAGCAAUAUAUCAUAGGACAUAGAUUCAAAAUAUGUUGAAAUCAUUAAAAUAAUGACAUUUAUGGGAGAGGUAAAUUAGGAAAUAGUUUAUGAUUUAUGUUGGAAAGGAAAAAAAGUUUAAAACAAAACAAGAUCGAAUUAAAAACGUGACUAAACCAUAAAUGAACGGGGCUAAGACUUUUAGUUAAUGGGGGGGGGGGGGAGUAGCAAAUAACGUCAGCUUUAAAAAUUUUAUUCUGGUAAACAAAAAAAACUACACCAGUAUUAUAUAUAAUAUUCAACCUUUUCAGAUUAGACGUCGUUCUAAUUUUUUCACAUUAAUUAAGAAAAAUGUUAAAUGUUCCGUUUACUCCUAUUUAGUUAUUUAAAAUUUAUUGAUUAUUUUCUAUUAUUUUUUUUUGAUGAAAAGCUAUUAUAUUACUCAAACUUGAGGUGGUCUGGAUAACUAAACCGGAAUAGAACAACCAACAAAAUGAAACUCUCUAUAGAACGAUUUUACCGUCAAAGAUAAAAAAUCAAAAGUCCGUUUAUGUAAGAAUUAAACAAAUUAACACAUAUAUUAAUUCGAAAGCAUACAACCUCACUCACACCACAUCUAACUUUUCGUGCGGUUGAUCUCCGGUAAUCAUUUCCUCGCACAGAUCAUUUAGUAAAGCAAACAACGCUAACACAUAUUAGUUCCAAAGCAAAUCUAACACACUACCAAUAAGAGCUAAACCAUAUUUUCUCCAUGCCCAAACAUCUUAACAACCAUAAACAUGAUUAUACAUAUUUUUUUUUCAAUUCCUAACAUAAAACACAUGCAAAGAAAACAUACAAUAAUAUAGACAUAUACAUCAUAUUGGUAUUGAUUGGAAUCUUAUUACAUAAAGAAGAAAGCAACUCUAUUUUCCUCUUGCCAGCGCAACAAAUAGGUUGAGGAGGUACCGACACGUGUCAAAUUAUUAAAAGGCAGCGUUUGAUUUAUUCCGAGUUUGGGCCGUCUCAUUUUGAAGCCCAUGUCGUGAUGUAAUCAACAUCUUCGUGUUGAAACGAGGCGUUUACUAUUAGGGUUAUCGUGAGUGUAGCUUCGCUUCUCCAGAGGUAAGGGCGACUUCCGUUGCUAGCGCAGCCGAUCUUUCGUUUCUUUCGUCGCACGAUGCCAGUAACCGAUUAAUCGUCUUUAAAACCCCAUAAAUCGAUCACCCACGAUGUAGAUUUAAUGCUAGAUUUUGUUUUCCAAGGCGGUGGAGUCGACUACAAAAAGACCGGUGUUAUUAUCGUUCUCCUCCUCCGCCAUUGUUAAUCUCAUUUUCCUUCCUCCGCCAUUGGCCAUUUCCCCAGGAGCAUCUCCGCAACCUGUUCGUUAUAAUUCCUCAAAGAGCUUAGAAAAGCCUUUUUUGGUGUUGUUGAGAGGACAUGAGAAUGGAGUUCCCUAGCAGAUCCAAUCAGUGGUUAUGUAACGACACGACGACAUGUGGAGAAACGUGGAGAUCCAAUCAUCAGUUCUCAGACAGGAGAAGAGUUUUCAAAUGAGUUUUUAAGGCUGCAGCAACAACAUCAGAUGUUUUCAUGUCGGAGAUCUUGAAGCUUCUUUGUAGUUUCGGUGGAAGGAUCUUACAGACACCUGGUGAUGGGAAGCUUAGAUACAUUGGAGGGGAGACUCAUAUCAUCUCCAUACGGAAACAUGUUGGAUUAAACGAACUGAAGCACAAGACUAAUGCUCUGUGCAACCAUCUGUGUAUACGAUCAAGUAUCAGUUACCGACAGAAGAUAUUGAUGUGCUUAUAUCUGUUUGAUCGGAUGAGGAUCUUCUUCAUAUGAUUGAAGAGUAUCAAAAAGAAGAAAAAGGAAAAGAAUUGAUAAAUUAUGUUAUUCGAUUCACACAGUUUUUUAUUUCUUUUGCAAGAAUCUGGUUUUGGUUUUCUUCAGUUUCAA